rnacentral:sRNA from 1 species
GUUGAAAACAAAUACAAAUGGCCAUUGGCCAAUCCUCUCCGAUCCUGUCCAGAAUCGCUGGGGUCCCCACCGAGCGUGGGGCAUAUCAUGACAUUUUAUUGUGUUGUCAGACGGAAAAGUGCUUAUUACGCAUGCGCAACGGCGUCCAGCGAGCUGGCUUUAAUUGUGGGGUGCCACUGGCACAUCCACAUCCACAUCCACACAACGUGGAGGAUUGCAGUGCCAUGGCGAAGUCAGCUUGCCAGUUUGGUUGUCGUUGUUGUUUACGCCGGCGAUUGUUUUACAAAUUAAUAUUAUUUUAUGAUAUCGCGUUUGUUUUGCUAAUUGUUGCAUGUGUGGCGUAGAUUGCAUUUACAACCCGCCGCCAGCUCAGUUAGGAUCCCAUGCCAUUGGUACCGGUGCGGCUAGUACCUCCAACUCCAACUCCAUUCCCAACUCCGGCUCCAUCGUUCGGUAGCCGCGGCCGGUGCAUUUUGACAGUUUUACGAGCUCGACCAGCGUUGAAAUGAAUACCUGCUAGGAGCUGGCAGUUGCGACUGGGAAGUUUGGAGCUGGCUGACUUGGCUAACUUGGGUGACUUGGAAGACCCGGGAGAUGGCACCGUGUGAGUUGUGGCCAUGUCGGCGGCUAGGAAUGCGGCAAGCCACCCAAACGUAGGAAGCUCCUAAUGAAUGCUUAGGCAGGCCAUCAUAAAUACCAGCGAAAGGAAUAUCUGAGCAAAUGGCGAGUUGAGGUCUUGCAUAACAAUUUUAAACGGCUCUAAUGCUAUGUUAAUAGGUUAACUAUCAAUAUAUUUACAUUGUUAUUUAAAAUAAUGUUUUUGUUUGGAGCAUAACAUAACCAGCAUCACUAUAUAAAGCACAUGUAGCAAAUUUCCGGCAAAGUGACCACCAACAUAUGCAUGUCGUGUGGAAUCUGCUGAUAAUCCUUAGCCGGAACUCCCUUACUUCCAGUCCCUCCUCAGUCAUUUGGCGAGUCGUCCCUCCCAUUUCAUUGGCACCUCUGUGGCGAUAAGGUGCCACACUUUGUUUUGCUUUAAUUGUCAAAUGCUGGUCGUUUAUCUUUAUGGCAACAGCGGCAACAACGUUGCCUUGCCAGACAGCUUGGCUCGAAUCUAGAGUCGGAGUACCACCAUUCGCAGUCCCAGUCCCAGUCCCAUAGCAACCCAUGUCCCAUAUCCCAGUCCAAGUUCUCUGGACGUCCCUCGCCGAACUGUCAACUGUCAGUCAGUCAGUUGAGUUCAGAUGGGCUGGCCUCUCCGUUCCGUAGGACAUCAAUAUGUGACCAGGGUCCCUUCUUCCCUUGACUGAGCUGUGUGUUUGCAGCAUGUUGCUCCGCCUGCUGAUAACUGAUAUUUGACAACUUUUGAUCCACUGACAGUGACGGCGGCCCGAUGUCUGGUGCUGGACAUUUAAGAAAUUCGACAGCUGCUUGGGAGUGAAAAACAGAAGAAAACGAAGCAAAAACAUUGGCAUGUCCCUCGUCUAUGCAAAAGAGUUUGCAUUUUUUCGUGUUUCGACUGACAGGAAACGUUUAGCCGAUAAUACGAAUGGGUAGCUGUCGUUUGACUGUAGGCACCGCCAUAUCCUUCCUUCCAGUUGUAGUGAUAUUCUCACAUCUUUGAGCGAUUUCCCUUAUGCGAUCUCGACUCCACCCGGAUGGCUUCGCGCUCGCUCUCACCGAAGGAAGCCACAAAAAAUACAAACAUGAAAACGAGCCGAGGAGGAAUCGCCUUCCGGUAAUGGUUAUGACCAGGGAGCCAUCGUAAUCUCCGUCGCUGACAAGCUGCCAGUAGCUCAGAAUCAGAAUCGGUAUCCGAAGCUGCAACUUCAGGAGGCCACAUGGAGCAGAGCUACCUACAUAUCUGCUGAUGGUGAUGGAAAGCGGAAGAGGGGGCUUUCCCGGGUCCGAAAGGGUAGGGAAUAGGAAUAGGGAGCAGCGCCGUAACAUCGACUACGGCGCAGAUAAAAGCCUUUCCAUGUCGCUUCAAAUUUAAGUUUUCAAUUAAAAAAGACAUAAAAUGUACAAGUAUGAGUGGCUGUCUAGCGCAUCUGUGUGCAGCAGUAUCUGUGAGUGACGUAGCUGCUGCCGAGCGGCGACUUCAUCAAGCGAGUAACAAAUAUUGUAAAGUAGUUUGACUUUGACAGAGCCGUCAUAACUGUUCAAGUAUCCGACAGGGGUUAAGUGGGAGCGCAAAAGGGGGUGGAGCUGGCUGGUAGACAGGGGUAAAUCUUCUUUUAAUUAUGAGAAUUCUUUCAUCAUUCAUAAAGACCAAUAAAGUGUAUGAAUUAACACACAAUUUGUAUAUAAGAAAGAGCAUAAUUAAAUGCUAUUAACAUAGAUGCUUUCAAAAAUUCUUUGAACUUGCAACAUUUACUCCAAUGCUAACUUGUACCUGCUCUUAAAAAGAAAGAUACAUUAAAGUACAAGGUACACAUUAAAAUUAAUUAUUAUUAUUUGCAGUGCAUUUGAAGUUCCAAGCACUUCCAUCGCUCAACAUUAUUUCUCACCAAAUUAACACUCGACGAAAACCGUUCUA